UACAGAGGGUGCAAGCGUUGUUCGGAAUUAUUGGGCGUAAAGGGUGCGUAGGCGGUUUGACAAGUCAUCUGUGAAAUCUACGGGCUCAACCCAUAGUCUGCAGGCGAAACUGUCGGGCUUGAGUAUGGGAGAGGUGAGUGGAAUUUCCGGUGUAGCGGUGAAAUGCGUAGAUAUCGGAAGGAACACCUGUGGCGAAAGCGGCUCACUGGACCAUAACUGACGCUGAUGAGCGAAAGCGUGGGGAGCGAACAGG
rnacentral:rRNA from 1 species